rnacentral:rRNA from 1 species
ACCCUGAUCCAGCCAUGCCGCGUGAGUGAUGAAGGCCUUAGGGUUGUAAAGCUCUUUCGCCUGUGAAGAUAAUGACGGUAGCAGGUAAAGAAACCCCGGCUAACUCCGUGCCAGCAGCCGCGGUAAUACGGAGGGGGUUAGCGUUGUUCGGAAUUACUGGGCGUAAAGCGCACGUAGGCGGAUCGGAAAGUUGGGGGUGAAAUCCCGGGGCUCAACCCCGGAACUGCCUCCAAAACUAUCGGUCUAGAGUUCGAGAGAGGUGAGUGGAAUUCCGAGUGUAGAGGUGAAAUUCGUAGAUAUUCGGAGGAACACCAGUGGCGAAGGCGGCUCACUGGCUCGAUACUGACGCUGAGGUGCGAAAGUGUGGGGAGCAAACAGGAUUAGAUACCCUGGUAGUCCACACCGUAAACGAUGAAUGCCAGUCGUCGGGUAGCAUGCUAUUCGGUGACACACCUAACGGAUUAAGCAUUCCGCCUGGG